UACGUAGGGGGCUAGCGUUGUCCGGAAUCAUUGGGCGUAAAGAGCGCGUAGGCGGCCAGAUAAGUCCGGUGUGAAAGUCAAAGGCUCAACCUUUGAAUGCCGCUGGAAACUGUCUGGCUAGAGUCCGGGAGGGGCGAGUGGAAUUCCUGGUGUAGCGGUAAAAUGCGCAGAUAUCAGGAGGAACACCAAUGGCGAAGGCAGCUCGCUGGAACGGUACUGACGCUGAGGCGCGAAAGCGUGGGGAGCAAACAGG
rnacentral:rRNA from 1 species